rnacentral:miRNA from 1 species
AAUGCUCAGUUAAAUUUGAAUUUCAGAUAAAUAGUGAAUAAUUUUUUAGUACAAGUAUGCCCCAGCAAUAUUUGGGACAUACUGAUACUAAAAGAAUUAUUUGUUGUUUACCUGAAAUUCAAAGUUA